rnacentral:lncRNA from 1 species
AAACAAAAGUUUACAGAAUUUGUUGAAUGCCUAUAUGUUAACUUUGAUUUUGACGGGGCUCAGAAAAAGCUGAGAGAAUGUGAAACAGUGCUCGUGAAUGACUUCUUCCUGGUAGCGUGUCUGGAGGACUUCAUUGAGAAUGCCUGUCGCUUCAUAUUUGAGACGUUUAUAUCCACCAGUGUAUCAGCAUUAAUAUGUUAGCAGACAAACUGAAUAUGACUCCAGAAGAAGCUGAAAGAUGGAUUGUGAAUUUGAUUAGAAAUGCGAGGUUGGAUGCCAAGAUUGAUUCUAAACUAGGUCAUGUGGUAAUGGGCAACAAUGCAGUCUGGCCCUACCAGCAAGUGAUAGAAAAGACUAAAUGUCUUUCUGUUAGAAGCCAAAUGUUGCCCAUGAAUAUCGAAAAGAAACUUAAUCAGAACAGCAGAUCAGAGGCUCCCAACUGGGCAACCCAAGACUCUGGCUUCUAUUAA